rnacentral:rRNA from 1 species
ACGGAAGGCAGCAGUGGGGGAUAUUGCGCAAUGGGGGAAACCCUGAUGCAGCGACGCCGCGUGAGUGAAGAAGUAUUUCGGUAUGUAAAGCUCUAUCAGCAGGAAAGAUAAUGACGGUACCUGACUAAGAAGCACCGGCUAAAUACGUGCCAGCAGCCGCGGUAAUACGCAUGGUGCAAGCGUUAUCCGGAUUUACUGGGUGUAAAGGGAGCGUAGACGGCAUGGCAAGCCAGAUGUGAAAGGCAGGGGCUCAACUCCGGGACUGCAUUUGAAACUGUCAAGCUAGAGUAUCGGAGAGGUAAGUGGAAUUCCUAGUGUAGCGGUGAAAUGCGUAGAUAUUAGGAGGAACACCAGUGGCGAAGGCGGCUUGCUGGACGAUAACUGACGUUGAGGCUCGAAAGCGUGGGGAGCAAACAGGAUUAGAUACCCUGGUA